AACAGAUACAUCCGGUAUCAAUAUACUCAUCUGAAGAUUUCAUUGGUGAAUUCCUUAUUCCACCUGAGUCAUUCUUCCGGGCUUUAAGACCCAGUGAUGUCAUUCUGCCUAAAUCAAGAGUAAUAAAUAAUACUGUAGUCCCUUAAGUACAGAAGAGUGGAGCGACCUGCAUUAUAAAACAAGCAUCUAAAUUGAAAAAGGAGCUUCAGCAGGCAGAGGAAUGCACCAGGGGAGGAAGAAGGCAACAAAGGAUGGGCAAAGGAGAGAGAAAGAGAGACAGAGAAAACAGAACAUCCAGCAGCUAAUCGGGGUUUAUUGAUUGCCAGCUUUUAAAUUCUACCCAGUCAUUUUCUCUCUCUGAUGUAAUGCCCAGUAGUUUUGCUCAUGAGCCAAAGCAGUCCUUAACCACAUCCUUUCUGCAGAGAAGCAGGACAGAGUAGCCUGAUUUGCAAGGGAUGCUUUGAGCCAAAGGAAUAUUGCGAGUGAGCAUCUGGGUAGCCCAGGAACGGGUAAGCAUUUAAGCAAAGGUGCGGAAAAGCACCGAGAGUGCAAAAAGGGAGAAAAGACAGGCAACCCAAAGCUAAUGCAGGCAGCUGAAAAGAGAGACAUGAAGAAGUGAGAAAGGAAAGGAACACUGCACUUGCAGCGCUGCGAAGAGAGAGAGAAAGGCAGGAGGAGAACAGACCUGCAUGAUGAGUCACCCAAAUAGUGAGAAGACCGAAGACAAUCCACCUCCGUAUUCUGAAUAUCAGCUUUAUGAAGAACCUGAUCUACUGAAGCCUCCAUCGGGGCCAGCACCCCCUAUGGGUUAUGGGGCAGUGCCUCCUCUGCCGAGUCAGUGUCCACCUUACUACGCUUCACCAGGGGUGGUAGGACCCAGUGAGGGAGCGCUCUUUCAUCCACCGCAGGCCGUCUUCAUCACGCCAGUCCAGCCCACCUAUGUACCCGAUUACCUGGCCUACUCCAUCUUCACCAUGCUUUGUUGCUGCGUUCCUUUGGGCAUUGUGGCCUUUAUUUAUUCUAUGCUGACCCGUGCUGCCGUCGGUGAUGGGGACACCACAGUUGCACGAAGAAACUCUAGGCGAGCAUUGUUUUAUGCCAACUUAGCAGUGUUGUUUGGGGUCAUAGUUUUGAUUGUGUACCUGCUCUUGAAAAUGACUGUGGCUAAAAGGGCAGACUGA
rnacentral:lncRNA from 1 species